rnacentral:rRNA from 1 species
AUUGAACGCUGGCGGCAGGCCUAACACAUGCAAGUCGAACGAGUGGCGGACGGGUGAGUAAUGUCUGGGAAACUGCCUUAUGGAGGGGGAUAACUACUGGAAACGGUAGCUAAUACCGCAUACCAUCAGAUGUGCCCAGAUGGGAUUAGCUAGUGGGUGGGGUAACGGCUCACCAAGGCGACGAUCCCUAGCUGGUCUGAGGGGAUGCCCAGCCAAACUGGAACUGAGAAAGGGGCCAGACUCCUAGGGGGGGCAGCAGUGGGGAAUAUUGCACAAUGGGCGCAAGCCUGAUGCAGCCAGGCCGGGUGUAUGAAGAAGGCCUUCGGGUGGUAAAGUACUUUCAGCGGGGAGGCGUUACCCGCAGAAGAAGCACCGGCUAACUCCGUGCCAGCAGCGCGGUAAUAC